rnacentral:snoRNA from 1 species
GGGAAAUGAGGAUUGGGUUUAAUCUCACUUUAAUUGUGGGAAGAGCGUUCCGCUCAAAGCCUGUUACGACUAUUGGGCGCUCCAAAUUUUAUACCAUCUGAUCCC